UCUCUCUCUCUCUCUCUCUCCUUCCUUUCCUACAACGAUGUUCUCUCAGAACUUCUCUCCCUCUUGUAGUUGCCAUGGCGGCGCGGCCUGCAUCUUUGUCUCCUCCUCCUCUUCUUCUCAAACUCUCUCUCUCGCACCUGUCAUGUGCUCGUGGUCAUGGUUGUGACCAACGUGGAUUGGGAGGGGGGGGGACCCAGUGGUCCAUUCUCGCUCUUCAGCACACGGAUGGGGGGCUUCACUCCCGAGAUACAGUGGCGGAUUCUUAGGGGCAAACACCCUAAUAUUCAUGCCGCCUGGUUCUAUUUGUGUGUGGUCCAAUUUGGUUCUGUGUAGCCUGGUUCGGUUUUUCUCUCAAUGAAGCUUGGGCCAUGAAGUGGAUAUUUGGCUCUAAAUCCAACCUGUCAAAAUAACACGCAAUACUCAUGCAUGCAACGCUGCUCAUAGUGGUGCUACGUCCUCAUCCUCAGCUGCUGCAGAUUCUCCUCAUAACGAUAUUGUGCAUGCGCACUCACACUCACCAGCACCUUCUAGAGCAGUCUCCACAAAUAACCCUCUGUAACUUACAUACUAUAUAUUGCCAUCUGUACAAUUCUGUUACGAACAAAUAUUCUAUCAUACUUGUAUAUAAAGGAGGUAUAACCUCUGUGUAAAGAUCAUGGGAAAUUACAAUACAAAGAAUACUUUUAGCAUGGUA